rnacentral:rRNA from 1 species
UACGUAGGCAGCAAGCGUUGUUCGGAAUUACUGGGCGUAAAGAGUGUGUAGGCGGUGCUCCAAGUCUGGUGUGAAAUCUCCCGGCUUAACUGGGAGGGUGCAUUAGAAACUGGAAUGCUAGAGGAUGGGAGAGGUAAGCGGAAUUCCUGGUGUAGCGGUGAAAUGCGUAGAUAUCAGGAAGAACACCCGUGGCUAAGGCGGCUCUCUAGUACGGUACUGACGCUGAGACGCGAAAGCGUGGGGAGCGAACAGG